rnacentral:lncRNA from 11 species
AAUUCAGCACAGCACUCUCUUGAUUCAUUUCUUUGCUUUUCUCCUGUAGAGUGUUUCAACCUGUGGAGUAUGUCUUCCAUCAUGAUUUCUUAAUUCAUACUAGGUUUCUUUCAUCAUAGGUAUUUUCAAGAGAAAAGACAUUCAGAAGGCUAGUUUAAGUAUGCAGCAUUUUACCAGAUGCAAAAGUACUGAGGAUUCUUGAGAAAUGCAGUGUUCUCUCCCGAAGGGCAGUUCUACAAUGACAAGAAAAGUAGGCUUGAACCGGCAUCUCGAUCCAGCAAAGCUGCCUUUUCCUCCUCCCAGUGUCAUCGCAAGUCAUCCAAUCCUAAACUCCUCUUUAAGACUACAAGCAAAUCGACACGGUCAUGAAAACCACGGACUCACCCUGAAUUGACCCUCCGACCAUCCGCACAACAUUCUGGAACUUCUGGUGAGUAUGUGGGUUAUCCUGGGUUAAACCAACUUUGUCCAGCUUCAGGCAAUGA